UUCUGCCCUAUGAUUAAAAAUUAAAUGGCUGCAGUAUUUUGACUGUGCAAAGGUAGCAUAAUCAUUAGUCAUUUAAUUGUUGACUUGUAUGAAUGGAUAAAUGAGAGAUUAAUUUUUUUUAUUUUAUUAUUAAAAUUUAAUUUUUAGGUAAAAAAGCUUUAAUUAUUUUUUUGGGACGAUAAGACCCUAUAGAACUUAAUUAUAUGUAUAAUUAUACAAUUUUAUAGUUAAAAUUAUUUGUUAAUUAUUAUUAUUUUUUUGUUGGGGUGACAAAUAAAUAUUUAACUUUAUUUUUUUAUAUCAUUAAUUUAUGAUUAUUUUUGAUCCUAAAUUUUAGAUUAAAAGAUUAAGUUACCUUAGGGAUAACAGCGUAAUUUUAAUGGGGAGUUCAUAUUUAUAUUAAAGUUUGCGACCUCGAUGUUGAAUUAAGAUAAGUUUGAGGGGUAG
rnacentral:rRNA from 1 species